UACGUAGGUGGCAAGCGUUGUCCGGAAUUAUUGGGCGUAAAGCGCGCGCAGGCGGUCCUUUAAGUCUGAUGUGAAAGCCCACGGCUCAACCGUGGAGGGUCAUUGGAAACUGGGGGACUUGAGUACAGAAGAGAAGAGUGGAAUUCCACGUGUAGCGGUGAAAUGCGUAGAGAUGUGGAGGAACACCAGUGGCGAAGGCGCCACUCUGGGCCGAAACUGACGCUGAGGAGCGAAAGCGUGGGGAGCAAACGGG
rnacentral:rRNA from 1 species